rnacentral:tRNA from 1 species
GGGCCGGAAGCUUAAGCCUGGUACAAGCACCCGACUCAUAAUCGGGCGACAGUGGGUUCGAAUCCCACCCGGCCUA